GCUCAGUGACUGGUCUCCCAGAUCCAGGGCUGGUGUUGGGCUCUCAGCUUCUCACCCUGCCCACAGAUUUGCUCCUGGAUGGCACUGGCAUGGGCUUCAAUAUCUUCAGUCCACAGCCCCUGACCAGGACUUUUCUGCUCCCUCCACCCAAGUUCACCACCCAUCAGUUCUGAGAGCUGUUGGUCAGAUCUGUUUCCUUUAGAACCAGAGAAAGUCUGCAAAGAUGAAUCAUUAACAGAAAUUGUGGAAAACAUGCGUAUUUGCCAGCAGUCAAAAGCCUGGGAAACUAUAUUUCUAAAGACACCUGAAGAAAGCACAAUGGCUGUUGUAGUUGUUUUUAACUGUACACACACCCAGCAGUACUGACUCCUCUAUUUGGAAAGACCAUCACUUUUCAUUAUGAAAAAGCUCUCAUUGCACACAUUUCUGUGUGGGGAAGGGUUGUUUAAUGUGAAAGACCUCUAAAAUAAUUUUACUUAAGAAUGUUCCUUGAAAGAUUAAGAAAGCAUAUUAACAUAUAGCUAUAAAAGGAUUAGUAUGUGGAGAUUUAAGUGCUCUUGUCUGGGCAGGCAAUACAGA
rnacentral:lncRNA from 1 species